rnacentral:lncRNA from 1 species
CGAAUGCAACAGUAAAUUUUUUUUGGAUCACGAUAUUGAUUAGGAAUUCCUACUGAAAUAAAUGUCAAACUAGAAAAUCAAAGGGUAAAGAAUAGGGAACCCGCUGUUAGAGAGAGUGCAAGGGUUGUCAAAGGAAGUGAUGCGAACUCCAGGGUUUUUUCCUCCCAAAUUUACAAAGAAAAAAUUCGAUAAAGGAAGUUUUUUAGGAGUAUUCGUACGUAUAUCAACAAUAAUACAAAAAAAAAUUAAUCCUUUUGAAUGAUUUCAGUUUUAAUAGAUGGCGCUGUGUGUAUAUAUUUAUUGUUUUCAUUAUAGUUUAACAGCUGACAGCUAAUAAUAGUCAUAUAGUUAUAAUUGUUGUAAUUUGUAUUGUGCACUGUCGUUCUCAAAACGAAUAAAAAAUGUCAAGGGGAGAAAAAGUUUUCGGUUAUUUACAAAAAUACAUAUGUUAAUAAAUGGGAGAGAAAUCAUAAACUUAAUGGUAUAUAUGAAUUCCUAUUAUAUUUAUUUGACUCAAUUGGAGUCUUCAGGUUAAAAAUUUUAGUUAUGAGUAGUUUGAUCUCAUAAAAGUUUGAACUGAAUCGAUCUUAUGAAUGCGAAAAAACUAGAUGUAAAAGAAAAGUGAUUUACGAUACAGUUAUCUAUAAACAACCAUAGAUUAAAUUGCGAAGAAAAUUGAGAUAUAAUAUGGUGUAUAUAGUUACUCGCUCACUGUUAUUAAGCCCACGAGUUCAUAAUUUGUCUCCACAGGAAGGUGUUAUUCAUAACGAUAGGACGUAAUCCUCCAACGAUGACGAAAUACUUUUAUGUUAAACAUACAUAUAGCUGAUUUAAGAAAAAAAAACCUUAAACAAACUGUUCAAACUACCAAUUAGAUAAUUCCUGUUGUAAUAAAGGAGUCAAGUCAUUAGUGAAUUAAAAUCAGGAAAUAUUUCAUAAUAAGAUGGAAGCCAUUUCAUUUACUAAGCUGUAUUCAUAAAUAAACAAUUUAGUUAAAAUAGAAGUAAAUAUAUCUUACAUGACAUGUCAUGUCUGCAGAGAUCUUCAAAAAUCAUUAAAAAUUUUGUCUGAAAAUUUUUUUCAUAAAAAUAUACAGAUAAAUAUGAAUUCUAUUCAUCUUUAAAACUUCUAUAAAAAUAUGCGUUGGCCAGCAUUAAAAGUUAUGAAAAUGAUAUCUAAAAUUUUAGAGUGCUACAAAAUUACUGAGAUUUUGUUAUGUUAUUUAUAUUAUUUAUAUUAUAAAACAAAGUUCAAUUCAAGCCCAGUGGUUGACAGCUAUAAUUUUAAUACAUGUAUUCAUAUUAAUAUUCGGGAACUUUUGUUUUUACGUCAAAAACAAUUGACUCGCUAAUAACGUAUACAUAUAUAUAUAUAUAUAUGAGGGAAUUUGUCUUGAUCGUAAGUACGAGGAUGCUCGUGAUGAUCAGUGCAAUGGUUGUGGUCACUUGAUCAAUGCUACUGAGCUGAUAAAUCCUAGGUGCAAACUGUGCAAUCAGACUCCGGUUGUUAAAACUUCGGACCAUUUCUUCUUGAAUCUUCCCAAGAUCGAGCCGAAAAUAAAGGAAUACGUUUCAUCAGCAGAAGCAAACUGGUCUGGCGUAGCAAGAUCAGCAACAAAACCGUGGCUCCAGGAUGGCUUGAAGCCGCGAUGCAUUACCCGGGACAUUAAAUGGGGAAUCCCCGUUCCGUUGAAAAGCUACGAAGACAAGGUGUUCUACGAGUGGUCUACCACGAAGACUACGAGCAAUAGUGGCGUCCUUAGCCAGAGAUGGACGUCUCGCUGUACCAGUUCAUAGCCAAAGACAACGUUCUGUUCCACGCGAUAGUGUUUCCCGCGUCCCUGCUCGCGGUUAACUAAGCUCAUAUCCUUGUGAAGAGUAUUAUGGCUGUAGAGUAUCUUAACUACGAAAACACCAAGUUCUCGGGAAGUUUGAGUCUUUGGUACCGAUGCCGAAGGAUCUCUUGUAUUUGCUGAAAAAAAUUAUGAAGGAAUAAUGUAAGUAGCGGAACUUCGUAAUGAAGAAUAUAAUUUGGUAGCAUGUGUACAGCGUGAAUUGACCGAGUAUAAUUUUUUGAUAAAGCAACCUAAAUUACGUCAUAGCUUGAAAUUAAUUUUAUCAAUAUAAAAGCUUGGUAAUCAGUAUCUACAAGCGCAGCAACCUUGGGCUAAUAAAAAGGGAUGAUAAUGAUAAAAAUGGUAUCCGGAGUCUGCUGUAACUUGAGUUGCUUGUUGUCAUCACUAAUCAGCUCAUUCAUGCCUGCACUAUCAGUAUCUCUUCGAGCUCAACUAGGACUUAAAAACCACUACGGCUUCAUCCCCGACACAGUGACCAUUUUACUGGAACUAGGUUACAAAAUCGGGAAAUCUUCAUCGCUGCUUGCCAGAAUAACUGACAAGGAGAUCCAGGCUCUCCGCAAAAAGUUCAGUGGAGUAAAAGAAGAAAAACCGAAGAAAA